UCAACCUGCACCUCGGGCCUGGAAGAGCCUGACUCAGCCAAGAAAGCAGUAUCAGAAGACAUCCAAGAAAGCUUCUCCUCACUGACCAUGGAAGACCAGAUGGAGGAUCCCGCCCCUGAAGCUAAGAAAAUGAGACAGUCUGAAGUGGAUCUGCAUAUUCUCGGCAAAGCCAGGAGAGUCAGUAAAAAGCCAUCCAUCUUGUAAAAGUCCCCCAGGAGAUGAUGCUGCUGCCACAGCCACCCAGAGCUCCAAGCCUGGACACAGCUCCUCUCGCAUCCACCCAUCCACCCCAGCCUUGCCUCCCAAGCCUCCUGCCCCCUCCCUCUGAGCCCCUGCAUAAUAAAUAAGCGUGCCUCCAGCAUCUGGGUGAGGCCGUGGGA